CACCACAUCAAUAAAAGAAGAGAAAAAGAGAAACAAGAAGAGAAAAAAGACUCCCUUAUUGGUGAAGAAAGAUCCUUUACACUACCCACCUCUCUUUCUCCCUUUCACUUCCU
rnacentral:ribozyme from 1 species